AGCAGUUUGCGCUGCUGUGUCACUCUGAUGGCUUCCUCCUUCUUUUAUGAUGAAAUAAUGCUGAAUUUAUGUGGAAAUGACUGUUGUACAAAAGCUUCAAAUAUCUGUCGCUGAGACAAAUGAUGACUGAAGUGCAGUUGUAAGCAGAAACUAG